GCUUAACUCCGGGCGUGCAGGCGAUACGGGCAUAACUUGAGUACUGUAGGGGAGACUGGAAUUCCUGGUGUAGCGGUGAAAUGCGCAGAUAUCAGGAGGAACACCGAUGGCGAAGGCAGGUCUCUGGGCAGUUACUGACGCUGAGGAGCGAAAGCAUGGGUAGCGAAUAGGAUUAGAUACCCUGGUAGUCCAUGCCGUAAACGGUGGGCGCUAGGUGUGGGGGUCUUCCACGACUUCCGUGCCGUAGCUAACGCAUUAAGCGCCCCGCCUGGGGAGUACGGCCGCAAGGCUAAAACUCAAAGGAAUUGACGGGGGCCCGCACAAGCGGCGGAGCAUGUGGAUUAAUUCGAUACAACGCGAAGAACCUUACCUGGGCUUGACAUAUGCAGGAUCGGCACAGAGAUGUGUUUUCCCUUGUGGUCUGUAUACAGGUGGUGCAUGGUUGUCGUCAGCUCGUGUCGUGAGAUGUUGGGUUAAGUCCCGCAACGAGCGCAACCCUUGUCUUGUGUUGCCAGCACGUUAUGGUGGGGACUCGCGAGAGACUGCCGGGGUUAACUCGGAGGAAGGUGGGGAUGACGUCAAAUCAUCAUGCCCCUUAUGUCCAGGGCUUCACACAUGCUACAAUGGUCGGUACAGUG
rnacentral:rRNA from 1 species